AUUGAACGCUGGCAGCAUGCUUUACACAUGCAAGUCGAACGGCAGCGCGGGCUUCGGCCUGGCGGCGAGUGGCGAACGGGUGAGUAAUACAUCGGAACGUGCCCAGUAGUGGGGGAUAGCUCGGCGAAAGCCGGAUUAAUACCGCAUACGACCUGAGGGUGAAAGCGGGGGAUCUUCGGACCUCGCGCUAUUGGAGCGGCCGAUGGCAGAUUAGCUAGUUGGUGGGGUAAAGGCCUACCAAGGCGACGAUCUGUAGCUGGUCUGAGAGGACGACCAGCCACACUGGGACUGAGACACGGCCCAGACUCCUACGGGAGGCAGCAGUGGGGAAUUUUGGACAAUGGGCGAAAGCCUGAUCCAGCAAUGCCGCGUGUGUGAUGAAGGCCUUCGGGUUGUAAAGCACUUUUGGCGGGAACGAAAAGGACUGUGCCAAUACCACGGUUCGAUGACGGUACCCGCAGAAUAAGCACCGGCUAACUACGUG
rnacentral:rRNA from 1 species